GGGCGUCGAACGUAAGAUGACUGUAGGUGAAAGCUUACAUCUCUUCGGAGCAUUUUACGAGGUGCUGCAUGGUUGUCGUCAGCUCGUGCCGUGAGGUGUCGGGUUAAGUCCCAUAACGAGCGCAACCCCUACCUUUAGUUGCCAUCAGGUUAAGCUGGGGACUCUAAAGGAACUGCCUACGCAAGUAGUGAGGAAGCGGGGAUGACGUCAAAUCAGCACGGCCCUUACGUCCAGGGCUACACACGUGCUACAAUGGCCGAUACAGAGGGCAGCUACCUGGUGACAGGAUGCAAAUCUCCAAAGUCGGUCUCAGUUCGGAUCGGAGUCUGCAACCCGACUCCGUGAAGUUGGAUUCGCUAGUAAUCGCGCAUCAGCCAUGGCGCGGUGAAUACGUUCCCGGGCCUU
rnacentral:rRNA from 1 species